rnacentral:rRNA from 1 species
UACAGAGGUCCCAAGCGUUGUUCGGAUUCAUUGGGCGUAAAGGGUGCGUAGGUGGCGCCGUAAGUCAGGUGUGAAAUCUCGGGCUUAACUCCGAAACUGCAUUUGAUACUGCGGUGCUUGAGGACUGGAGAGGAGAGUGGAAUUCCUGGUGUAGCGGUGAAAUGCGCAGAUAUCAGGAAGAACACCCGUGGCGAAGGCGGCUCUCUGGGACGGUACUGACGCUGAGACGCGAAAGCGUGGGGAGCGAACAGG